ACGCACAUACACAAGCCCAUGUGGGAGCCCGAGUGACGUGUGCUCGGUGGUCAUGCACCAUCAUUUCCCUUCCACCUUCCUCCUCGCCGCUUCCUCUCCCUCCACCGCGCAGCUCCAGCCGCCUUGCCGCCGCCGCAUCCCCUUCCAAGUUCAGGCUGUGGGUGGAACCUGUUGCUUUAGCUCACGUUUCCCUUCCCCUCCGGGCUGCACGCUGAGGAUGACCUCAGCGAGGUUUGGCUUCCUUGAGACAGAGGAUCUUGCUCGCCUCAAAGAGGAGGGCAGUUUGCCCCCUUCCUCCUGACUCCAAGACAAAAGAGAGAAGACUGAAGAGUGGUAAAGCUUGUGGUGGAAGAGGUCAAAGGAAUAUCUUUAAAAGGGAUCCAGGGCCUCUCAGAGUUCACCUGAGCUUUCCCAAGUCUGGUUUGUUCUCUCUACCCUGCUGCUACUACUGCAAGUGACUUUCACAAGAUGCUUCUGAGCAUAGCAUUGCUCUGCUGUGACCACUGCAGAUGUCAAGAGAAUUUCUGCCUUUUGGAACUUGGACAAUAUUGGCCACCUACCCAGAGAGAGGAGAAGGAUAAUCCAGACAUAAAGGUAGCUCCCACACAUCCUUUGGAUCUCUGAUAAAGAGUCAUAUACUUAAAGAGCCAUCCUCACAUUCCUGCCCAGGUAUACCCCAAAUAAAAGUUAUCAUAGCACUGUGCAUUCCUCCUUUGUAACACUUGCCACCAUUGAAAUUUUAUUUGCUUGUGUGAUUAUUUUGUCUACCUUCUCUCCUCUAGACUGUGAGCUGCAUGAGAGAGGCCAUGUCUCAUUUUGUUCCAUUACAUCUCCAGCACUUAAGAGUGCUGGACACAUAACGAGUGUCUGACACAUAACGAGUGCUGAAUAAAUGUUUGUUAACUGAUAAAAUG
rnacentral:lncRNA from 1 species